rnacentral:antisense_RNA from 1 species
CCUUCUGUUACAAAUAAACGUGAUACUUUCUUUGGGUUAUUUAAAGGAACAUUACUCAUGAG